GCAUGGAAAUUAAUGAGUAGGCUUGCUCCUUCUCACCAUCUACCCUGACAAGUUUCUGUAUACCUCUGCUGACAGAAAAUGGACCUCUAAACACUCUUCUCUGACUAAUCCUACUGGAGUAUUAUUGAAAUGCCCAAUAUUAGAACAACCCUGGGACUUCAUUUCCUGUACCUGCUAUACCGCAACUAAUGCAAGGUUCACUGCUGCAAUACCAUAACAGUGUGGCACCUGGCGUGCAGCAGGGUCAGUUGGCGUAACGAGACUAUGAUCUGCCCUGCAACCUAGAAGACUACAGGAAUACUCAACACAGAACAGGAAAACUUCAAAGAUAAGAAGGUGUUCAAAUACAGGACUGGGUAUAUUGUACUGUAAGAAGAUGAAUAAAUGAAACAACCUGCAGCUAAGUAAAAGCCAACAAACACCAUGUCAAACUAAUUUUCUUCAAGGAAAAUAACGUCAUGAUGAAGUUCCUAAAAUUUUAUACAUGUUCAGACUUUCUGAAAUUUCCUGCCUUUUGAUGUUUGUAAAUAACAUGUUUUAAUGAAUAAAAAG